GCUUACGGCCACACCACCCUGAGCGCGCCCGAUCUCGUCUGAUCUCGGAAGCUAAGCAGGGUCGGGCCUGGUUAGUACUUGGAUGGGAGACCGCCUGGAAUACAGGUGCCGUAAGCU
rnacentral:rRNA from 1 species